GAUGAACGUUGGCGGUGUGCCUAAUACAUGCAAGUCGAACGGAGUUAGUAGCAAUACUGGCUCAGUGGCGAACGGGUGAGUAACGCGUUGGUGAUCUGCCUUGAAGUGUGGAAUAACGUUUCGAAAGGAACGCUAAUACCGCAUGUGCUCUCGAUUUUCAGAAAGUUGAGAGUAAAGGAUUUAUUCGCUUCAAGAGGAGCCUGCGUCCCAUCAGCUGGUUGGUAGGGUAACGGCCUACCAAGGCUAUGACGGGUAGGGGACCUGAGAGGGUGGCCCCCCACAAUGGAACUGAAACACGGUCCAUACACCUACGGGUGGCAGCAGUAGGGAAUAUUAGAAAUGGACGAAAGUCUGAUCUAGCAACACCGCGUGUGCGAAGAAGGCCUUCGGGUCGUAAAGCACUUUUGGAAGGAAUAGGAGGAAUGUACUUCCAGAAUAAGUCUCGGCUAACUACGUG
rnacentral:rRNA from 1 species